GAUGCGGAGCAAGGCUUAUGGAAAGACAGAGGCUUCAUUUCUUUGGCAGUCAUCAUGACUUCUAUUCGAAUAUUUCGAGAAGCUGGAUGAACCUGCUCUUCAGACUUCCCCAGCCCCGCCAGACGCAGCCAGCAUGACAAAUGGUUACAGAAGCGAAAAGGUUUGGCGUGAUUCUUGCCUGCCUACAUACCAAAGCAGAAAGAAGAUGCUCCAAAGGAAAGAAGGAGAAUGAGGUGCUAUUCCAGAGAAGAGGAGGAUGAGUGGGUUGGUGUGAAUUGCCCUUUGUUUGAGCUGCUGUUAUCUUUCAAGAGUCAACUUGCCCUCUCUGGAAUGGUGCCUGGUUAAUAUCAGCUACAUUCCAAGGAUGCUGAUCUCUAAAAAAAAAAAAAAAAAAAAGAGCAUUUUUUUCUCUGGCCCAGCUGUGUGUUAAUAUUUUCAUGAUUCUACCUAUUAAAGUUAUACCUAAUGAUUUAUACCUCAGCUACAGUUGGAUAUUUCAAUUGUGGCCAUUUAUUGCAAUUAUGACUGUUUAGAUAAAGGCAGACUUUUUUUGUAAGCCCUGUAGUAUGUUACAGCUGUCUAAUAUUGUUGUUUAUAUCUGAAAUAGUAACAAAAAUAGUACACUAAAACAAGCCAGUGAUAGUUGCAACUAUCAGCAGUGAUAGUUGCAAACUGCAAUGGAGCUUUCACUUUUUUUUCUUGUUUAUUCAUUUGUAAACUUAACUUUGCUAUAAAUUGCUACAAAACACAGCUAACUACUUGUUUCUGCAGAGCUAUUUGGGAAUAAACAACCUUUUGUGCUUCUUGUC